rnacentral:rRNA from 1 species
CGCGCAGCCAUGGUCGCUGUGCGAACACCAUAGGCGUAAAAAACAUGACUCGAGUUGUGCGGGAUUACGGGCGAGACUCUCUGCUCGUCCCUCCAUCCCCGGGUGUUAUAGCCGGCAGCCGGUGUUGGGCGCGCGCGCUUCUGGCGUGUGUGCCCAGCGCCGUGCCAUAACAUACCGCGAGUGUGCAGGAUGUGACCCGAAAGAUGGUGAACUAUGCCUGAUCAGGUCGAAGUCAGGGGAAACCCUGAUGGAGGACCGAAGCAAUUCUGACGUGCAAAUCGAUUGUCAGAGUUGGGCAUAGGGGCGAAAGACCAAUCGAACCAUCUAGUAGCUGGUUCCUUCCGAA